GAUGAAGAACGUAGUGAAAUGCGAUAAGUAAUGUGAAUUGCAGAAUUCAGUGAAUCAUCGAAUCUUUGAACGCACAUUGCGCCCAUUAGUAUUCUGGUGGGCAUGCCUGUUCGAGCGUCAUUUCAACCCUUAAGCCCCUGUUGCUUAGCGUUGGGAGCCUACAGCCUGCUGUAGUUCCUCAAAGUUAGUGGCGGAGUCAGUUCACACUCUAGACGUAGUAAAAUCUUUAUCUCGCCUAUAGAUGAGCUGGCGCCUUGCCGUAAAAACACCUAAUCUUUUACAAGGUUGACCUCGGAUCAGGUAGGAAUACCCGCUGAACUUAAGCAUAUCAAUAAGCGGAGGA
rnacentral:misc_RNA from 1 species